rnacentral:rRNA from 1 species
CGUGUAGGCGGGAGACCAAGUCAGAUGUGAAAUGCCAGGGCUUAACCCUGGAGCUGCAUUUGAAACUGGCCUUCUUGAGUGAUGGAGAGGUAGGCGGAAUUCCUAGUGUAGCGGUGAAAUGCGUAGAUAUUAGGAGGAACACCAGUGGCGAAGGCGGCCUGCUGGACAUUAACUGACGCUGAGGCGCGAAAGCGUGGGGAGCAAACA